AUGAAUAUCCUUAGUUGGAACUGCCGGGGGGGUGGGAACCCUCGGACAGUUCGUGAUCUUGUGAGUCUUGUACAGACUCAUUCCCUCAUCGUUUUUCUUUGUGAAACUAGACAGUCAAAAAAUAAAAUGAAGAGGUACCACUCUUGUUUAGGUUUAAGUGGUUUCGAGGCCUCAGAUAGUGAGGGUCUUAGUGGUGGCUUGGCUUUGUACUGGCAUGAGUCCAUAAGUCUUGAUGUAAAAACUAUCAAUAAAAGAUAUAUUGAUGUGUACGUGACGACGGCGCCGGGAGAGCCACCCUGGCGACUCACCUGCGUCUAUGGCGAGCCGCGAACGGAGGACCGGCAUCGCAUGUGGUCCAUCCUACGUGAUCUUCAUCGCCAAUCCGACUUGCCUUGGGUGGUGGUUGGAGACUUCAAUGAGGCUAUGUGGAGCUUCGAACACUUCUCUGAAUCACCACAGUCGGCAGGUCAGAUGAUUGAUUUUCGUGAUGUUCUGGAAGUUUGUGGCUUGGGUGAUCUUGGUUUUGCAGGGCUGCCUUACACAUAUGAUAACAAACAAGCUGGACGUGCAAAUGUUAAGGUCCGCCUUGAUCGGGCGGUGGCAACCAAUGCUUGGUGGGACUUGUUUGAAUUUGCUAAGGUGGAACACCUGGUGGCACCUAGCUCAGACCAUCUUCCUAUACUGUGA
rnacentral:rRNA from 1 species